CAAUCCAAAAUUUUUACAUUUAAAAUCUUAAUCAUUAUCCUUAAAGCAUUUGUUAACUAAAUUCAAGGUUGAAAUAUAAAUGUAAUUUGGAAACAAACAUUGUAUGACCUACCAAGUCUAAUUCCAUGGUCCAAAAUUGAUUAACUAAUAUAGUGAACUAUAGGAAAAGUAAAACAUAAAAAAAAAAAAAGAAGAAUGGGCCUAAUAUGGGCCUAGUUAAUUCUUCCUAGAGCCUCCUCCUCCUCUAAGUGAUUGCCAAAAGACAGGCCAAUUCUUUUGGGCCUCAUUCCAGCCCAAAAGAGAGCCUUCCCUCAAUGGAUCCCAACUUGAGGACACAAUCCCAUAACUAACCCCCAACAAUGCAGACCCAAAGAAAAAGAAUGAGACAAUGAAAGGGACCCAAGUGGGCACAUCAAUCUUGAGCCCAACUUUGAGAUAGUAAAAGAAUGGGAA